UUAAAAUGUAAAGUGCCAAGCUUGUUUCAGCAUUAAAAAAAGUUACAUUGGCCUGUAACCAAAAUAUUUGUCUCCCAAAUGUCAUCCUUAGAACAAUUUUUUAAACACAGUGUGAUUGCCUCUCCCUCCUCUCAACUCCCAGCAGGCUAAAGCAGACCUCACAUGGUCCUACACAGAUGCAGACAGAGAAACUGCUCAUUAUCAAUCAAUGAACACAAACAACUUGAAGACUGCUCAGUUCCCCCUGCUAAAGUUUCCAGAUUGUUUGAACUUCGCUGGCCGCACAAUACAGGAAGGAAGACUAAAGCAGCAAAGGGACCUACAGCGUCUGCAGCAUGGGCUGGUUAACUAGGAUUGUCUGUCUUUUCUGGGGAGUAUUACUUGCAGCAAGAGCAAACUAUCAAAAUGGGAAGAACAACGUGCCAAGGCUGAAAUUAUCCUACAAAGGUAAACCUUAUUUUUCUUUUAUUUGGUUAGCUUUGUAAUAACAGCCCCCCCUUUCAUUCCUUAAACUCCCUCCCAACCCCAAAUCAUCAAACCUUUAGUUUAACCUGGAAAACCUAUGUGAUUAUAUGUCUCUUUCUGAGAUGUUUUAAACCGUUUUGUAAAAAGCAUGUCUUCUGUUUGAUAUAUGACAAUUUAAAUGCAAACAAAGAACAUUUAAUCACAUUUGCUGAAAAGAGCUGUAUGCCUGGUACACGCUGAUCUGUAUAUCUUACUAUCGUAUCUUAUGCCUGUUAAUUUUUCUGACUUUACUUCUAUUAAAAUAUUU
rnacentral:lncRNA from 1 species